rnacentral:rRNA from 1 species
UAAGCUUCAGCUAUACACGACCGUACCGCAAACCGACACUGGUGCGCGAGAUGAGUAUUCUAAGGCGCUUGAGAGAACUCAGGAGAAGGAACUCGGCAAAUUGACACCGUAACUUCGGAAGAAGGUGUGCCUUUAGUAGGUGAACCUGUACAAGGGGAGCCCAAUGAGGUUGCAAAAAAUCGGUGGCUGCGACUGUUUAUUAAAAACACAGCACUCUGCAAACACGAAAGUGGACGUAUAGGGUGUGACGCCUGCCCGGUGCUGGAAGAUUAAAUGAUGGGGUGCAAGCUCUUGAUUGAAGUCCCAGUAAACGGCGGCCGUAACAAUAACGGUCCUAAGGUAGCGAAAUUCCUUGUCGGGUAAGUUCCGACCUGCACGAAUGGCGUAACGAUGGCCACACUGUCUCCUCCUGAGACUCAGCGAAGUUGAAAUGUUUGUGAUGAUGCAAUCUCCCCGCGGAAAGACGGAAAGACCCCAUGAACCUUUACUGUAGCUUUGUAUUGGACUUUGAACAGAUCUGUGUAGGAUAGGUGGGAGGCUUUGAAGCAGGGUCGCUAGAUCUUGUGGAGCCAACGUUGAAAUACCACCCUGGUGUGUUUGAGGUUCUAACCUAGGUCCAUUAUCUGGAUCGGGGACAGUGCAUGGUAGGCAGUUUGACUGGGGCGGUCUCCUCCCAAAGCGUAACGGAGGAGUUCGAAGGUACGCUAGUUACGGUCGGACAUCGUGACGAUAGUGCAAUGGCAUAAGCGUGCUUAACUGCGAGACUGACAAGUCGAGCAGAUGCGAAAGCAGGACAUAGUGAUCCGGUGGUUCUGUAUGGAAGGGCCAUCGCUCAACGGAUAAAAGGUACUCUGGGGAUAACAGGCUGAUACCGCCCAAGAGUUCAUAUCGACGGCGGUGUUUGGCACCUCGAUGUCGGCUCAUCUCAUCCUGGGGCUGUAGCCGGUCCCAAGGGUAUGGCUGUUCGCCAUUUAAAGAGGUACGUGAGCUGGGUUUAAAACGUCGUGAGACAGUUUGGUCCCUAUCUUCCGUGGGCGCUGCAGAUUUGAGGAAGCCUGCUCCUAGUACGAGAGGACCGGAGUGGACAUACCUCUGGUGUAUCGGUUGUCACGCCAGUGGCAUUGCCGAGUAGCUAAGUAUGGAAGAGAUAAACGCUGAAAGCAUCUAAGCGUGAAACUCGUUUCAAGAUGAGAUCUGCCGGGGCCUUGAGCCCCCUAAAGAGUCGUUCAAGACCAGGACGUUGAUAGGUCAGGUGUGGAAGCGCAGUAAUGCGUUAAGCUAACUGAUACUAAUUGCUCGUGCGGCUUGACCA